GGGUUGUGAGGUUAAGCGACUAAGCGUACACGGUGGAUGCCCUGGCAGUCAGAGGCGAUGAAGGACGUGCUAAUCUGCGAUAAGCGUCGGUAAGGUGAUAUGAACCGUUAUAGCCGGCGAUUUCCGAAUGGGGAAACCCAGUGUGAUUCGUCACACUAUCAUUACGUGAAUACAUAGCGUAAUGAAGCGAACCGGGGGAACUGAAACAUCUAAGUACCCCGAGGAAAAGAAAUCAACCGAGAUUCCCCCAGUAGCGGCGAGCGAACGGGGAGCAGCCCAGAGUCUGAAUCAGCUUGUGUGUUAGUGGAACGGUCUGGAAAGUCCGACGGUACAGGGUGAUAGUCCCGUACACCAAAAUGCACAGGUUGUGAACUCGAAGAGUAGGGCGGGACACGUGGUAUCCUGUCUGAAUAUGGGGGGACCAUCCUCCAAGGCUAAAUACUCCUGACUGACCGAUAGUGAACCAGUACCGUGAGGGAAAGGCGAAAAGAACCCCGGCGAGGGGAGUGAAAAAGAACCUGAAACCGUGUACGUACAAGCAGUGGGAGCCUCUUUAUGGGGUGACUGCGUACCUUUUGUAUAAUGGGUCAGCGACUUAUAUUCUGUAGCAAGGUUAACCGUAUAGGGGAGCCGAAGGGAAACCGAGUCUUAACUGGGCGUUAAGUUGCAGGGUAUAGACCCGAAACCCGGUGAUCUAGCCAUGGGCAGGUUGAAGGUUGGGUAACACUAACUGGAGGACCGAACCGACUAAUGUUGAAAAAUUAGCGGAUGACUUGUGGCUGGGGGUGAAAGGCCAAUCAAACCGGGAGAUAGCUGGUUCUCCCCGAAAGCUAUUUAGGUAGCGCCUCGUGAAUUCAUCUUCGGGGUAGAGCACUGUUUCGGCUAGGGGGUCAUCCCGACUUACCAACCCGAUGCAAACUGCGAAUACCGAAGAAUGUUAUCACGGGAGACACACGGCGGGUGCUAACGUCCGUCGUGAAGAGGGAAACAACCCAGACCGCCAGCUAAGGUCCCAAAGUCAUGGUUAAGUGGGAAACGAUGUGGGAAGGCACAGACAGCCAGGAUGUUGGCUUAGAAGCAGCCAUCAUUUAAAGAAAGCGUAAUAGCUCACUGGUCGAGUCGGCCUGCGCGGAAGAUGUAACGGGGCUAAACCAUGCACCGAAGCUGCGGCAGCGACACUAUGUGUUGUUGGGUAGGGGAGCGUUCUGUAAGCCGUUGAAGGUGUGCUGUGAGGCAUGCUGGAGGUAUCAGAAGUGCGAAUGCUGACAUAAGUAACGAUAAUGCGGGUGAAAAACCCGCACGCCGGAAGACCAAGGGUUCCUGUCCAACGUUAAUCGGGGCAGGGUGAGUCGACCCCUAAGGCGAGGCCGAAAGGCGUAGUCGAUGGGAAACAGGUUAAUAUUCCUGUACUUAGUGUUACUGCGAAGGGGGGACGGAGAAGGCUAUGUUAGCCGGGCGACGGUUGUCCCGGUUUAAGCAUGUAGGCGGAGGUUCCAGGUAAAUCCGGUACCUUUUUAACGCUGAGGUGUGAUGACGAGGCACUACGGUGCUGAAGUAACAAAUGCCCUGCUUCCAGGAAAAGCCUCUAAGCAUCAGGUAACACGAAAUCGUACCCCAAACCGACACAGGUGGUCAGGUAGAGAAUACCAAGGCGCUUGAGAGAACUCGGGUGAAGGAACUAGGCAAAAUGGUGCCGUAACUUCGGGAGAAGGCACGCUGAUAUGUAGGUGAAGCGGUUUACCCGUGGAGCUGAAAUCAGUCGAAGAUACCAGCUGGCUGCAACUGUUUAUUAAAAACACAGCACUGUGCAAACACGAAAGUGGACGUAUACGGUGUGACGCCUGCCCGGUGCCGGAAGGUUAAUUGAUGGGGUUAUCCGUAAGGAGAAGCUCUUGAUCGAAGCCCCGGUAAACGGCGGCCGUAACUAUAACGGUCCUAAGGUAGCGAAAUUCCUUGUCGGGUAAGUUCCGACCUGCACGAAUGGCGUAAUGAUGGCCAGGCUGUCUCCACCCGAGACUCAGUGAAAUUGAACUCGCUGUGAAGAUGCAGUGUACCCGCGGCAAGACGGAAAGACCCCGUGAACCUUUACUAUAGCUUGACACUGAACACUGGUCCUUGAUGUGUAGGAUAGGUGGGAGGCUUUGAAGUGUGGACGCCAGUCUGCAUGGAGCCAUCCUUGAAAUACCACCCUUUAAUGGCUGGUGUUCUAACGUGGACCCGUUACCCGGGUUGCGGACAGUGUCUGGUGGGUAGUUUGACUGGGGCGGUCUCCUCCUAAAGAGUAACGGAGGAGCACGAAGGUUAGCUAAUCCUGGUCGGACAUCAGGAGGUUAGUGCAAAGGCAUAAGCUAGCUUGACUGCGAGAGUGACGGCUCGAGCAGGUGCGAAAGCAGGUCUUAGUGAUCCGGUGGUUCUGAAUGGAAGGGCCAUCGCUCAACGGAUAAAAGGUACUCCGGGGAUAACAGGCUGAUACCGCCCAAGAGUUCAUAUCGACGGCGGUGUUUGGCACCUCGAUGUCGGCUCAUCACAUCCUGGGGCUGAAGUAGGUCCCAAGGGUAUGGCUGUUCGCCAUUUAAAGUGGUACGCGAGCUGGGUUUAGAACGUCGUGAGACAGUUCGGUCCCUAUCUGCCGUGGGCGCUGGAGAAUUGAGGGGGGCUGCUCCUAGUACGAGAGGACCGGAGUGGACGCAUCACUGGUGUUCGGGUUGUCAUGCCAAUGGCAUUGCCCGGUAGCUAAAUGCGGAAGAGAUAAGUGCUGAAAGCAUCUAAGCACGAAACUUGCCCCGAGAUGAGUUCUCCCUGAGACUAUAAGUCUCCUGAAGGAACGUUGAAGACGACGACGUUGAUAGGUCGGGUGUGUAAGUGUAGCGAUACAUUGAGCUAACCGAUACUAAUGAACCGUGAGGCUUAACCUUACAACGCCGAAG
rnacentral:rRNA from 1 species